GGGAAUGUGGCUCAAUAGUAGAGCAUUUGCCUAGUAUGCAUUAGGCCUGGGGUUCAAUCCCCAACACUGACA
rnacentral:tRNA from 1 species